GGAUGAACGCUGGCGGCGCGCCUAAUACAUGCAAGUCGAGCGAGAAGACGUAGCAAUACGUUUGUAAAGCGGCGAACGGGUGAGGAAUACAUGGGUAACCUACCCUCGAGUGGGGAAUAACUAGCCGAAAGGUUAGCUAAUACCGCGUACGCUUCUUGGACUUCGGUUCAGGGAGGAAAGCGAUACCGUGGGUAUCGCGCUCUUGGAUGGGCUCAUGUCCUAUCAGCUUGUUGGGAGGUAACGGCUCACCAAGGCUUCGACGGGUAGCUGGUCUGAGAGGACGAUCAGCCACACUAGCACUGCGACACGGGCCAGACUCCUACGGGAGGCAGCAGUAAGGAAUAUUGCGCAAUGGGCGAAAGCCUGACGCAGCGACGCCGCGUGGGGGAUGAAGGUCUUCGGAUUGUAAACCCCUUUCGGG
rnacentral:rRNA from 1 species